rnacentral:rRNA from 1 species
GGCCUACCAUGGUGGUAACGGGUAACGGGGUGUUAGGGCACGACACCGGAGAGGGAGCCUGAGAAACGGCUACCACAUCCAAGGAUGGCAGCAGGCGCGCAAAUUACCCAAUCCCGACACGGGGAGGUAGUGACAAUAAAUAACAAUACGGGGUUCUAUAGGAUUUCGUAAUUGGAAUGAGUACAAUUUAAAUCUCUUAACGAUCAACAAUUGGAGGGCAAGUCUGGUGCCAGCAGCCGCGGUAAUUCCAGCUCCAAUAGCGUAUAUUAAAGUUGUUGCAGUUAAAAAGCUCGUAGUUGAAUUUCGGGAUUAGUAGGUUGGUCAUACCUCUGGUAUGUACUGGUCUCACUGAUUCCUCCCUCUUGACGAACUGUAAUGUCAUUAAUUUGGUGUUGCAGGAAAUCAGGACUGUUACUUUGAAAAAAUUAGAGUGUUUAAAGCAGGCUAAGGCUUGAAUACAUUAGCAUGGAAUAAUGAAAUAGGACGUUUGAUCCUAUUUUGUUGGUUUCUAGGAUUGACGUAAUGAUUAAUAGGGAUAGUUGGGGGCAUUAGUAUUCAAUUGUCAGAGGUGAAAUUCUUGGAUUUAUUGAAGACUAACUACUGCGAAAGCAUUUGCCAAGGAUGUUUUCAUUAAUCAAGAACGAAAGUUAGGGGAUCGAAGACGAUCAGAUACCGUCGUAGUCUUAACCAUAAACUAUGCCGACUAGGGAUCGGAUGAUGUUAAUUUUUUAAUGACUCAUUCGCGGCCUUACG